rnacentral:rRNA from 1 species
AUGGUGAGAGUGGCGCACGGGUGCGUAACGCGUGAGCAACCUACCUCUAUCAGGGGGAUAGCCUCUCGAAAGAGAGAUUAACACCGCAUAAUAUAAUCUACCGGCAUCGUUGGAUUAUUAAAUAUUUAUAGGAUAGAGAUGGGCUCGCGUGACAUUAGCUAGUUGGUAAGGUAACGGCUUACCAAGGCGACGAUGUCUAGGGGCUCUGAGAGGAGAAUCCCCCACACUGGUACUGAGACACGGACCAGACUCCUACGGGAGGCAGCAGUAAGGAAUAUUGGUCAAUGGGCGGAAGCCUGAACCAGCCAUGCCGCGUGCAGGAUGACUGCCCUAUGGGUUGUAAACUGCUUUUGUCCAGGAAUAAACCUCUUUACGAGUAGAGAGCUGAAUGUACUGGAAGAAUAAGGAUCGGCUAACUCCGUGCCAGCAGCCGCGGUAAUACGGAGGAUCCGAGCGUUAUCCGGAUUUAUUGGGUUUAAAGGGUGCGUAGGCGGCCUAUUAAGUCAGGGGUGAAAUACGGUGGCUCAACCAUCGCAGUGCCUUUGAUACUGAUGGGCUUGAAUCCAUUUGAAGUGGGCGGAAUAAGACAAGUAGCGGUGAAAUGCAUAGAUAUGUCUUAGAACUCCGAUUGCGAAGGCAGCUCACUAAGCUGGUAUUGACGCUGAUGCACGAAAGCGUGGGGAUCGAACAGGAUUAGAUACCCUGGUAGUCCACGCCCUAAACGAUGAUAACUCGAUGUUGGCGAUAGACAGCCAGCGUCUUAGCGAAAGCGUUAAGUUAUCCACCUGGGGAGUACGCCCGCAAGGGUGAAACUCAAAGGAAUUGACGGGGGCCCGCACAAGCGGAGGAGCAUGUGGUUUAAUUCGAUGAUACGCGAGGAACCUUACCCGGGCUUGAAAGUUAGUGAAGAGAUCAGAGACGGUUUCGUCCUUCGGGACACGAAACUAGGUGCUGCAUGGCUGUUGUCAGCUUGUGCCGUGAGGUGUUGGGUUAAGUCCCGCAACGAGCGCAACCCCUAUGUUUAGUUGCCAGCAUGUCAUGGUGGGGACUCUAAACAGACUGCCUGUGCAAACAGAGAGGAAGGUGGGGACGACGUCAAGUCAUCAUGGCCCUUACGUCCGGGGCUACACACGUGCUACAAUGGAUGGUACAGCGGGCAGCUACAUAGCAAUAUGAUGCUAAUCUCUAAAAGCCAUUCACAGUUCGGAUUGGGGUCUGCAACUCGACCCCAUGAAGUUGGAUUCGCUAGUAAUCGCGUAUCAGCAAUGACGCGGUGAAUACGUUCCCGGGCCUUGUACACACCGCCCG